CACAUGCAAGUCGAACGGUGAAGCCCAGCUUNCUGGGUGGAUCAGUGGCGAACGGGUGAGUAACACGUGAGCAACCUGCCCCUGACUCUGGGAUAAGCGCUGGAAACGGCGUCUAAUACUGGAUACGAACCGCGACCGCAUGGUCAGUGGUUGGAAAGAAUUUCGGUUGGGGAUGGGCUCGCGGCCUAUCAGCUUGUUGGUGAGGUAAUGGCUCACCAAGGCGUCGACGGGUAGCCGGCCUGAGAGGGUGACCGGCCACACUGGGACUGAGACACGGCCCAGACUCCUACGGGAGGCAGCAGUGGGGAAUAUUGCACAAUGGGCGCAAGCCUGAUGCAGCAACGCCGCGUGAGGGAUGACGGCCUUCGGGUUGUAAACCUCUUUUAGCAGGGAAGAAGCGAAAGUGACGGUACCUGCAGAAAAAGCGCCGGCUAACUACGUGCCAGCAGCCGCGGUAAUACGUAGGGCGCAAGCGUUAUCCGGAAUUAUUGGGCGUAAAGAGCUCGUAGGCGGUUUGUCGCGUCUGCUGUGAAAUCCCGAGGCUCAACCUCGGGCCUGCAGUGGGUACGGGCAGACUAGAGUGCGGUAGGGGAGAUUGGAAUUCCUGGUGUAGCGGUGGAAUGCGCAGAUAUCAGGAGGAACACCGAUGGCGAAGGCAGAUCUCUGGGCCGUAACUGACGCUGAGGAGCGAAAGGGUGGGGAGCAAACAGGCUUAGAUACCCUGGUAGUCCACCCCGUAAACGUUGGGAACUAGUUGUGGGGUCCAUUCCACGGAUUCCGUGACGCAGCUAACGCAU
rnacentral:rRNA from 1 species